AAAAAGGCAAACCCUGAGUUUCCGUGUCCAACGUUUAACCGUCCAUCUUAUUUGAAAAAAUUAUAAUUUUUUUUAAAAAGACAAGUCACGCAUAAAGUAUUAAUCAUGUUUUAUCAUCUAACAACAAUGAAAAUACUAAUUAUAAAAAAAAUUAUAUAAAACGGACAGUCAAACAUUGAACACGAAAAAUCAGAGUUUGUCUUUCU
rnacentral:pre_miRNA from 1 species